UACGUAGGGUGCGAGCGUUGUCCGGAAUUAUUGGGCGUAAAGAGCUCGUAGGCGGUCUGUCGCGUCUGCUGUGAAAACCCGAGGCUCAACCUCGGGCCUGCAGUGGGUACGGGCAGACUAGAGUGCGGUAGGGGAGAAUGGAACUCCUGGUGUAGCGGUGGAAUGCGCAGAUAUCAGGAGGAACACCCGUGGCGAAGGCGGCACUCUGGGACGGUACUGACGCUGAGACGCGAAAGCGUGGGGAGCAAACAGG
rnacentral:rRNA from 1 species